CCUACGGGUGGCAGCAGUGAGGAAUAUUGGUCAAUGGCCGGAAGGCUGAACCAGUCAUGCCGCGUGAAGGUCAGUGCCCUAUGGGCGUUAAACUUCUUUUGUGCGGGAGCAAUAAUGGUCACGUGUGGCCAGACGAGAGUACCGUACGAAUAAGCAUCGGCUAACUCCGUGCCAGCAGCCGCGGUAAUACGGGGGAUGCAAGCGUUAUCCGGAGUUAUUGGGUUUAAAGGGUGCGUAGGCUGUGAGGUAAGUCAGCGGUGAAAUGCCCCCGCUCAACGGGGUGAAGUGCCAUUGAUACUGCCUUGCUGGAAUGCGGAUGCCGUGGGAGGAAUGUGUGGUGUAGCGGUGAAAUGCUUAGAUAUAACUUAGAACUCCGAUAGCGAAGGCAGCUUACCAGACUGCGACUGACGCUGAAGCACGAGAGCGUGGGUAGCGAACAGGAUUAGAUACCCCAGUAGUC
rnacentral:rRNA from 1 species